GGGGGUAGAGCUCAGUGGUAGAGCGCAUGCUUAGCAUGCAUAAGGUCCUGGGUUCAAUCCCCAGUACCUCCA
rnacentral:tRNA from 1 species